rnacentral:rRNA from 1 species
GACGAACGCUGGCGGCGUGCCUAAUACAUGCAAGUCGAGUGAAGCGGCGGAUGGGUGAGUAACGCGUGGGUAACCUGCCCUUAAGUCUGGGAUACCAUUUGGAAACAUAUGCUAAUACCGGCUACUAAAGGAUGGACAUGCGGUGCAUUAGCUAGUUGGUAAGGUAACGGCUUACAAAGGCGAUGAUGCAUAGCCGAGUUGAGAGACGGAUCAGCCACAUUGGGACUGAGACACGGCCCAAACUCCUACGGGAGGCAGCAGUAGGGAAUCUUCCACAAGGGACGAAAGUCUGAUGGAGCCACGCCGCGUGAGUGAAGAAGGUUUUCGGAUCGUAAAGCUCUGUUGUUGGUGAAGCGUUAAUCAACCAGAAAGUCACGGCUAACUACGUGCCAGCAGCCGCGGUAAUUC